UACGUAGGGGGCAAGCGUUGUCCGGAUUUAUUGGGCGUAAAGAGCGUGUAGGCGGUCAGGUAGGUCCGUUGUGAAAACUCGAGGCUCAACCUCGAGACGCCGAUGGAAACCAUCUGACUAGAGUCCGGAAGAGGAGAGUGGAAUUCCUGGUGUAGCGGUGAAAUGCGCAGAUAUCAGGAAGAACACCCGUGGCGAAGGCGGCACUCUGGGACGGUACUGACGCUGAGACGCGAAAGCGUGGGGAGCGAACAGG
rnacentral:rRNA from 1 species